UGUUGGUCAUUUAGGCACACAGUCGACUGCAGCAUGGACACCUCUUAGCGCAGCAUAUUGAGUCAAGAAAGCUGUGGAACAGAGCUUGGAGAUGCUGGACAGGAGAGCACAGAGACCUCAGGGCAUUGCACCAGGAUGGUGGGAUGGAUUUCCACUAGCAGGAUAAACAGAAGACCCAGGGGAAGAGGUCAGAGUUUCUAUUUUGGGAACUAUGCUUAAUGGUAGCUAGUAUUGAGGACAGAUAAAUAAUCUGUGCACUUCACUACCUCACAUCAAUCCUAUUAUUCUACUUCAUGCUUUAUUUAUCUGGUAUCUGCUCAUUGAUAGGAAACAGGUGUGUUAGAAUAAGAGUCAGGAGAACAUGGCCUACCAAGAUAAUGAAUCUGAUCCCAGAAGACAUACCUUUGCUAGAAAAGUAGGCUCCUUAAAACCAGAUGUUAAGAAAAAUUGAUUUUUACCUUGGAGUCUAGGGCUGA